CAAAGUGUAGCUUAGCUCAAAGCAUCUGGCUUACACCCAGAAGAUUCCGCAUACAACGGACACUCUGA
rnacentral:tRNA from 1 species